CUACGGGGGGCAGCAGUGGGGAAUAUUGCACAAUGGGCGCAAGCCUGAUGCAGCCAUGCCGCGUGUAUGAAGAAGGCCUCGGGUUGUAAAGUACUUUCAGCGGGGAGGAAGGGAGUAAAGUUAAUACCUUUGCUCAUUGACGUUACCCGCAGAAGAAGCACCGGCUAACUCCGUGCCAGCAGCCGCGGUAAUACGGAGGGUGCAAGCGUUAAUCGGAAUUACUGGGCGUAAAGUGCACGCAGGCGGUUUGUUAAGUCAGAUGUGAAAUCCCCGGGCUCAACCUGGGAACUGCAUCUGCUACUGGCAAGCGUGAGUCUCGUAGAGGGGGGUAGAAUUCCAGGUGUAGCGGUGAAAUGCGUAGAGAUCUGGAGGAAUACCGGUGGCGAAGGCGGCCCCCUGGACGAAGACUGACGCUCAGGUGCGAAAGCGUGGGGAGCAAACAGGAUUAGAUACCCCGGUAGUC
rnacentral:rRNA from 1 species